ACUCUCGGCAACAGAUAUCUCGGCUCUUGCAUCGAUGAAGAACGUAGUGAAAUGUGAUACUUGGUGUGAAUUGCAGAAUCCCGUGAACCAUCGAGUCUUUGAAUGCAAGUUGCGCCUGAAGCCAUUAGGUUGAAGGCACGUCUGCCUGGGCGUC
rnacentral:rRNA from 1 species